rnacentral:rRNA from 1 species
AUGAACGCUGGCGGCGUGCCUCAUACAUGCAAGUCGCGCGAACGGACGCGAAGCUUGCUUCUCUGAUGUUAGCGGCGGGCGGGCGAGUAACACGUGGCUAACCUACCUAUAUGACUGGGAUAACUUCGGGAAACCGGACCUAACACCGGAUAAUAUUUUGAACCUCAUGGUUCAAAAGUGAAAGUCGGUCUUGCUGUCACUUAUAGAUGGAUCCGCGCUGCAUUAGCUAGUUGGUAAGGUAACGGCUUACCAAGGCAACGAUGCAUAGCCGACCUGAGAGGGUGAUCGGCCACACUGGAACUGAGACACGGUCCACACUCCUACGGGAAGCAGCAGUAGAGAAUCUUCCGCAAUGGUCGAGAGCCUGACGGAGCAACACCGCGUGAGUGAUGAAGGUGUUCGGAUCGUAAAACGCUGAUAUUAGGGAAGAACAUAUGUGGAAGUAACGGUGCACAUCGUGACGGUACCUAGUCAGAAAGCCACGGCUAACUACGUG